ensembl:lncRNA
UGGAAAGGUAGGCCUACUCUGUCUGGGGUGGAAAGGUAGGCCUACUCUGUCUGGGGUGGAAAGGUAGGCCCUACUCUGUCUGGGGUGGAAAGGUAGGCCCUACUCUGUCUGGGGUGGAAAGGUAGGCCCUACUCUGUCUGGGGUGGAAAGGUAGGCCUACUCUAUCUGGAGUUAAAAGGUAGGGGGGUGGAAAGGUAGGUCCUACUCUGUCUGGGGUGGAAAGGUAGGCCUACUCUGUCUGGGGUGGAAAGGUAGGCCUACUCUGUCUGGGGUGGAAAGGUAGGUCCUACUCUGUCUGGGGUGGAAAGGUAGGUCCUACUCUGUCUGGGGUGGAAAGGUAGGUCCUACUCUGUCUGGGGUGGAAAGGUAGGUCCUACUCUGUCUGGG